CUUUGAACAAGUCUCUUGACCUUCCUGGUUUUCUAUUCCCUUAUCUGCAAAGUGAUGAUUUAGACUAGAUGGCCUUUCAGGUUUCUUCUAGCUCUGAUAAUUUUUUACUUUGAGAUUGCAAAAUGUCUUCUGUUUUACCUUCAGUGCUCUGGCAUUUAAAAAACAGAAAACAAAUAUGACAACAAUAAAAAAGGCCAUGUGAAGAUGUGCCUGCUUCCCCUUUGUCUUCCAUCAUGAUUGUAAGUUUCCUGAGGCCUCCUCAGAAGCAGAAGCCUGUACAGCCCACAGAAGAGUGAGCCAAUUAUGCCUCUUUUCUUUAUAAAUUACCCAUUCUCAGAUGGGAUCUCAUUAUGUUGCCCAGGCUGGUCUUGAACUCCUAAACUCAAGUGAUCCUCCUGCCUUGGCCUCCCAAAGUGCUGGGAUUACAGGUGUGAGCCACCAUCCCUAGCCACUAUAUCUUCUUUCUUUCUAAAUUAAAUUUAUAAGAAUAUAUCUAUAUGUGUCGCUCUGGGGGAUAGGAAUGUGGGUGAUUUUUACUUUGUACUUCAAGCCAUUUAUAAUUAAAAUAAUCUGUUUAAUAGGAAAAUUAUACUAAUGUAUCUAUAUUUUUGGUCUGUUUUCUUACACUGAACAUAUAUUACAUUAAUGAGGGAAAAAAGAUAUUUUUCUCCGGACAGGAUGAGGUGGAGAAACCAUCAUUAAGAUGAAUAAAAU
rnacentral:lncRNA from 1 species